CACACACUUUCCUAAGUUCAAUUAUUGCCACAUUUACUACAUGUCACUGGAAGUCAUAUGGUUGACCCAUCAUUGUGGGAGAGAAUAAAAAGGCAAAGGAUAUGGGUGCAGGGAAAGGUGGAAAAUGAGGUCUCGUAACAAAAUCAAUCUACCAGAGCAGCUUCUUAGUGGCAGUUUAUCUAAUUCAAAUGCAUACAAAAUCACAAAGAAAACCUAUGUAAUGAAGAGUGGCAGAACCAAAAUUUAAAUAGUAAUGGCACACAGGGAGAAAUAUUUGCAUCUUCAACAUGUAAGGAUAACUUUCAAAUUCAUAAAAAAAUCAAAUUAUUAGUGGUAAAUUUCCAAGGAAUAGGAACAAAGAAGAAAAGCAAGAGGUGAACAAGUUCAUGAAACAAAUAUUUAUCCUGAUGUGGAUAUAAUUUUCAAUAAAUAAAUUAACAGAAAAAUAAAAAUUUUGAUCAAGAGCAAAUAAAAUUGAGGCAAUAC
rnacentral:lncRNA from 1 species